rnacentral:rRNA from 1 species
AUGAACGCUGGCGGCGUGCCUCAUACAUGCAAGUCGAGCGAACGGACGAGAAGCUUGCUUCUCUGAUGUUAGCGGCGGACGGGUGAGUAACACGUGGAUAACCUACCUAUAAGACUGGGAUAACUUCGGGAAACCGGAGCUAAUACCGGAUAAUAUUUUGAACCGCAUGGUUCAAAAGUGAAAGACGGUCUUGCUGUCACUUAUAGAUGGAUCCGCGCUGCAUUAGCUAGUUGGUAAGGUAACGGCUUACCAAGGCAACGAUGCAUAGCCGACCUGAGAGGGUGAUCGGCCACACUGGAACUGAGACACGGUCCAGACUCCUACGGGAGGCAGCAGUAGGGAAUCUUCCGUAAUGGGCGAAAGCCUGACGGAGCAACGCCGCGUGAGUGAUGAAGGUCUUCGGAUCGUAAAACUCUGUUAUUAGGGAAGAACAUAUGUGUAAGUAACUGUGCACAUCUUGACGGUACCUAAUCAGAAAGCCACGGCUAACUACGUG